UUGAGUCGAUCGGAAGAGAAUUAACGAAAGUUAUGCCUACUUUGUUUAGGUUAUCGGGUAUAAAAAAUUUAGGGUAUUACAAGUAAACGGAAAGAGUCGAGACCAUCCUCGAUAUCGUUAAAGCAGAGAAACGCAGUCUCAGUUAAAAAAUCGAUACAAGGGCUCUUUUCGCGCCUUUGAUCAAAGAGAACACAGAUCGUAAAUACUCUGAAUCAGCUUUACGAGCGACCUGAUGUGGGCAUUAUCUAAGUAAAAUAUGCUGAUUUCACAAUACCAGUACCUGUAUAAAAUGAGAAACAAGAUGUUUUUACUAGUAGGAUAUUACGGUACAGGUAUUUCAAGUGAUCCUGACCCAUCAUCUUUAUAUUUUGAUGUUACAACUUUCAAGUAAAAUCUAUUAUUAUUGCGUACAGACAAUGCUAUUUGUGCUUCUAUAAUGAGUUCGAGAGUUGAAGAAUUGUAAAUAGACUUAAAGAAACAAACUCUGAACUUCUAAUUAUUCUUCCGUGUGUUUCCUGGGAUAAAGCUUCAAAUUUUAAUAAAUUUUCGAAGAUAAAAAGCAUUUAUAGUGUAAAAAUAUAACUUUUUUUUUAUAAAAC